GCAAAUCCAAAUACUCAAAACCGGAUGAAAGAGACUUCGCUACAGUGUGCGUUAAAUUCCAAGAUUUUAUCACUGAUGGAAUUAAACUGUCUAACCUUUGAGCGGGGACAGAGUGCUUCUGAGUCACCACUUAGGUCUCCUCAGCACUCAACGGAAACUUUCAGCAGGGGAUCAUCUGUGUCUAGUUUGUCAUCAGCAUCAAUUGAUAUAAGGCAAGAUGAAGUGAAGAACAGUUAUAAAGAGGUAAGACUGAGGUAA
rnacentral:lncRNA from 1 species